UUAAGCGACUAAGCGUACACGGUGGAUGCCCUGGCAGUCAGAGGCGAUGAAGGGCGUGCUAAUCUGCGAUAAGCGCCGGUAAGGUGAUAUGAACCGUUAUAACCGGCGAUACCCGAAUGGGGAAACCCAGUGUGAUUCGUCACACUAUCAUUAACUGAAUCCAUAGGUUAAUGAGGCGAACCGGGGGAACUGAAACAUCUAAGUACCCCGAGGAAAAGAAAUCAACCGAGAUUCCCCCAGUAGCGGCGAGCGAACGGGGAGGAGCCCAGAGCCUGAAUCAGCAUGUGUGUUAGUGGAAGCGUCUGGAAAGGUGCGCGAUACAGGGUGACAGCCCCGUACACAAAAGCGCAUGUGCUGUGAGCUCGAUGAGUAGGGCGGGACACGUGGUAUCCUGUCUGAAUAUGGGGGGACCAUCCUCCAAGGCUAAAUACUCCUGACUGACCGAUAGUGAACCAGUACCGUGAGGGAAAGGCGAAAAGAACCCCGGCGAGGGGAGUGAAAAAGAACCUGAAACCGUGUACGUACAAGCAGUGGGAGCACAGGUUUACCUGUGUGACUGCGUACCUUUUGUAUAAUGGGUCAGCGACUUAUAUUCUGUAGCAAGGUUAACCGUAUAGGGGAGCCGGAGGGAAACCGAGUCUUAAUUGGGCGUUAAGUUGCAGGGUAUAGACCCGAAACCCGGUGAUCUAGCCAUGGGCAGGUUGAAGGUUGGGUAACACUAACUGGAGGACCGAACCGACUAAUGUUGAAAAAUUAGCGGAUGACCUGUGGCUGGGGGUGAAAGGCCAAUCAAACCGGGAGAUAGCUGGUUCUCCCCGAAAGCUAUUUAGGUAGCGCCUCGUGAAUUCAUCUCCGGGGGUAGAGCACUGUUUCGGCUAGGGGGCCAUCCCGGCUUACCAACCCGAUGCAAACUGCGAAUACCGGAGAAUGUUAUCACGGGAGACACACGGCGGGUGCUAACGUCCGUCGUGAAGAGGGAAACAACCCAGACCGCCAGCUAAGGUCCCAAAGUCAUGGUUAAGUGGGAAACGAUGUGGGAAGGCCCAGACAGCCAGGAUGUUGGCUUAGAAGCAGCCAUCAUUUAAAGAAAGCGUAAUAGCUCACUGGUCGAGUCGGCCUGCGCGGAAGAUGUAACGGGGCUAAACCAUGCACCGAAGCUGCGGCAGCGAACGUAUCACCCAAGACAACUUUACGGAGUUGACGAUUGACGGAGCGAAGCGACGUCAAAGCGUUCAUUAAAGUCGAGUUGGCUUAGGGAUACGUUCGUUGGGUAGGGGAGCGUUCUGUAAGCCUGUGAAGGUGUGUCGUGAGGCAUGCUGGAGGUAUCAGAAGUGCGAAUGCUGACAUAAGUAACGAUAAAGCGGGUGAAAAGCCCGCUCGCCGGAAGACCAAGGGUUCCUGUCCAACGUUAAUCGGGGCAGGGUGAGUCGACCCCUAAGGCGAGGCCGAAAGGCGUAGUCGAUGGGAAACGGGUUAAUAUUCCCGUACUUGGUGUUACUGCGAAGGGGGGACGGAGAAGGCUAUGUUGGCCGGGCGACGGUUGUCCCGGUUUAAGCGUGUAGGUGUGUGUUCCAGGUAAAUCCGGUUCACUUUAACACUGAGGCGUGACGACGAGGCACUACGGUGCUGAAGCAACAAAUGCCCUGCUUCCAGGAAAAGCCUCUAAGCAUCAGGUAACACGAAAUCGUACCCCAAACCGACACAGGUGGUCAGGUAGAGAAUACCAAGGCGCUUGAGAGAACUCGGGUGAAGGAACUAGGCAAAAUGGUGCCGUAACUUCGGGAGAAGGCACGCUGACACGUAGGUGAAGUGAUUUACUCAUGGAGCUGAAGUCAGUCGAAGAUACCAGCUGGCUGCAACUGUUUAUUAAAAACACAGCACUGUGCAAACACGAAAGUGGACGUAUACGGUGUGACGCCUGCCCGGUGCCGGAAGGUUAAUUGAUGGGGUCAGCGCAAGCGAAGCUCCUGAUCGAAGCCCCGGUAAACGGCGGCCGUAACUAUAACGGUCCUAAGGUAGCGAAAUUCCUUGUCGGGUAAGUUCCGACCUGCACGAAUGGCGUAAUGAUGGCCAGGCUGUCUCCACCCGAGACUCAGUGAAAUUGAACUCGCUGUGAAGAUGCAGUGUACCCGCGGCAAGACGGAAAGACCCCGUGAACCUUUACUAUAGCUUGACACUGAACAUUGAGCCUUGAUGUGUAGGAUAGGUGGGAGGCUUUGAAGUGUGGACGCCAGUCUGCAUGGAGCCGACCUUGAAAUACCACCCUUUAAUGUUUGAUGUUCUAACGUGGACCCGUAAUCCGGGUUGCGGACAGUGUCUGGUGGGUAGUUUGACUGGGGCGGUCUCCUCCUAAAGAGUAACGGAGGAGCACGAAGGUUGGCUAAUCCUGGUCGGACAUCAGGAGGUUAGUGCAAUGGCAUAAGCCAGCUUGACUGCGAGCGUGACGGCGCGAGCAGGUGCGAAAGCAGGUCAUAGUGAUCCGGUGGUUCUGAAUGGAAGGGCCAUCGCUCAACGGAUAAAAGGUACUCCGGGGAUAACAGGCUGAUACCGCCCAAGAGUUCAUAUCGACGGCGGUGUUUGGCACCUCGAUGUCGGCUCAUCACAUCCUGGGGCUGAAGUAGGUCCCAAGGGUAUGGCUGUUCGCCAUUUAAAGUGGUACGCGAGCUGGGUUUAGAACGUCGUGAGACAGUUCGGUCCCUAUCUGCCGUGGGCGCUGGAGAACUGAGGGGGGCUGCUCCUAGUACGAGAGGACCGGAGUGGACGCAUCACUGGUGUUCGGGUUGUCAUGCCAAUGGCACUGCCCGGUAGCUAAAUGCGGAAGAGAUAAGUGCUGAAAGCAUCUAAGCACGAAACUUGCCCCGAGAUGAGUUCUCCCUGAGACUUAGAGUCUCCUGAAGGAACGUUGAAGACGACGACGUUGAUAGGCCGGGUGUGUAAGCGCAGCGAUGCGUUGAGCUAACCGGUACUAAUGAACCGUGAGGCUUAACCUU
rnacentral:rRNA from 1 species